rnacentral:rRNA from 1 species
GUAGUCCACCCCGUAAACGUUGGGAACUAGUUGUGGGGUCCAUUCCACGGAUUCCGUGACGCAGCUAACGCAUUAAGUUCCCCGCCUGGGGAGUACGGCCGCAAGGCUAAAACUUAAAGGAAUUGACGGGGACCCGCACAAGCGGCGGAGCAUGCGGAUUAAUUCGAUGCAACGCGAAGAACCUUACCAAGGCUUGACAUAUACGAGAACGGGCCAGAAACGGUCAACUCUUUGGACACUCGUAAACAGGUGGUGCAUGGUUGUCGUCAGCUCGUGUCGUGAGAUGUUGGGUUAAG